rnacentral:lncRNA from 1 species
AUUUCUAUGUGGCUUGUGGUAAUUUGUGAUGGACUAGUUGGAGCACCCCUGCAGGGUUAAAUCUUUCGGAAAGUCGUGCCCGUGGUUAUGUGGCAACGUGGAAACUUUGUGUAACACUGGUUCUAGAUAUCUUGAAGUUAACUUAAUUAAAACAUGCCAACUGAGUGCGUAACCGUGACUGUCUCUUGCGUGCGUUCCUUCUCCGAUAGAGGACACGGUGGGGUUAUGUCUGACGUAGGUAGGUGUUCAGGAUCAUUCAUUUGAUCAUCAGUAGUCAUGUCCGCUAUGCGUAGAUCUUCACCCUCUUAUUUCUUGUACUCGUAAGUUUAGCCACCAAAUAUAUGCUUAGCCGCUAUUGUAACCUCACCACUUAACCAUACCUC